rnacentral:tmRNA from 1 species
GGGGGUGUUCUGGUUUCGACGGGAGUUUUCGGAGGUAUGGUAAGCGAGCCGCGGACCCUGUACCGCGUUAAAACGGGGAAAAACAAUAACUGACAAUAGCGAUUUCGCUUUCGCGGCUUAAUGCCGCGCGUCGACCCUGACUGCCCACAGGUCAGGUCAUCGGCGUCAGCAAUGUGGGGAACGAGUGCGCCAAAGCUUUGAAGCGUUACCCGUAAUCAUGAAGCUACCGUAACCGCAAGCCCGCCAGGGGGCGUGCGGCGAGGGGAAUCCUAAAACCUUGGAUGCGCUCGGAGAAGGCUGUACUGGCGUGCUUUCGGACGGGGGUUCGAUUCCCCUCACCUCCACCA